CUUCGACAGGGCGAUCGGUGACCGUUGAAGAGAAGCAACAGAAGCAAGACAGUUUUUGCUGCUCCCUCCCAGCCACCGCUAAUGACAUCAUGCAUGGAUGGAUUUGAUUUUAUGGCCGUAGGGACAUCGUUUUGUGCUGUAUGCAGCCAACUUGCCUGUUCUUGUGCAUAAUCACAAGGUACCAAACUGUGCAAAAUGUACAAAGGAAAUCCCUGCGAUUGGAAUGAGAGGUAAAAUAUUUAUAAACUCAUGUACUGUAAGAAGGCAACAAUAUCACAGUGAAAAUGAUGGUCUGGAUAUGGUAUGGUUUGCUACAUCAUCAAUGGAAAUAUGUUUGUUUUUAUGUAGGUGGUCCAUAGCUAACUUUUGAAUUCUGGUCAUGUGAGAGAGACACCAUUACACUACUACGCCAUCACCUUUGGGGUUCUUCCCCAGAAAUACCAUCUGUGGCAUUUAAGCUGGAUGUCAAGUAAUUGUUGCGUACAAUGGCUUUCUAUGAAAAAUAUAUUUUUCCUAACAUUAUUCCUCUUAAUAAUAAUUAAAAAAAUUCAAAAGGGCCAUUUUUCCGCCCCCCUCCGUGACUGCGCCCUAGGCAACUGUCUCGUUCGCUUAAUGGUAGAAUCGGUCCCGACUACAUCACUGCCACAAAAGACAUUCUUAAUAAUUUAGGAUUCGGAUCAACCAAGAAAAUCUGCAAUUUUAAAUGGUUUAAGGAAAAGAUUAGAAGAUACUUAUUAGAUCAGCAUACACUUUCAUUGUUUUUUGACAGGCGAUUUUGAUUGUGAAAAAUAUGUUCUAUUGUACAGCAAAGUAGCACCUUUUCUUAAGUUGACAGCAACAAAUAAAAACCUACCAUAAAAUGAAAGGUGUAAUAAUGUGCCAAAAUGUGAAUAACUUAAAACUGCAUUACAUAUUGAGGAUAAAAGAUGUUAAUUGGUUCUCAAAUUCUGCAGGAAACAUAUAGUUCUACAGAUAUUUCCUGCCUUUUUUUAUUGCGCAUAAUACAAUUUGUUCUUGAUGUGCCUUGUGUGUUAGGAAUAAACUUUUUUGGGCUUCAGAAAGAUUCCUGCAGAAGAACGCUUUUAAUAAAUCUUGAAAAUCUUA